AGGACGAACGCUGGCGGCGUGCCUAACACAUGCAAGUCGAGCGAGAACCGGGACUUCGGUCCCGGGGACAGCGGCGAACGGGUGAGUAACACGUGGGUAAUCAACCCUCGGCACCGGGAUAGCCCGAGGAAACUCGGAUUAAUACCGGAUAGCCCCUCCGACUCUCGAGUCGGUCGGGAAAGGUAGCUUAGGCCUCUGGCCGGGGACGAGCCCGCGGCGGAUUAGCUUGUUGGUGGGGUAAUGGCCUACCAAGGCAACGAUCCGUAGCUGGUCUGAGAGGACGAUCAGCCACACUGGGACUGAGACACGGCCCAGACUCUUACGGGAGGCAGCAGUGGGGAAUCUUGCGCAAUGGGCGAAAGCCUGACGCAGCGACGCCGCGUGAGGGAAGAAGGCCUUCGGGUUGUAAACCUCUUUCAGGAGGGACGAAGCUACUCGGGUGAAUAGCCCAGAGGGUGACGGUACCUCCAGAAGAAGCCCGGCUAACUACGUGCCAGCAGCCGC
rnacentral:rRNA from 1 species